CAGUCGCCGCGGGAAUACGUAGGGUGCGAGCGUUAAUCGGAAUUACUGGGCGUAAAGCGUGCGUAGGCGGUGAGUUAAGUCUGCUGUGAAAUCCCCGGGCUCAACCUGGGAAUGGCAGUGGAUACUGGCUCGCUAGAGUGUGUCAGAGGAUGGUGGAAUUCCCGGUGUAGCGGUGAAAUGCGUAGAGAUCGGGAGGAACAUCAGUGGCGAAGGCGGCCAUCUGGGACAACACUGACGCUGAGGCACGAAAGCGUGGGGAGCAAACAGGAUUAGAUACCCCAGUAGUCCCUGUCUCUUAUAU
rnacentral:rRNA from 1 species